CCUACGGGUGGCUGCAGUGGGGAAUUUUGGACAAUGGGGGCAACCCUGAUCCAGCCAUGCCGCGUGCGGGAAGAAGGCCUUCGGGUUGUAAACCGCUUUUGUCGGGGAAGAAAUCCUCCGGGCUAAUACCCCGGGGGCAUGACGGUACCCGGAGAAUAAGCACCGGCUAACUACGUGCCAGCAGCCGCGGUAAUACGUAGGGUGCAAGCGUUAAUCGGAAUUACUGGGCGUAAAGCUGGCGCAGGGGGUCGAAAUCCCCGGGCUCAACCUGGGAGCUGCAUUGGUGACUGCAAGGCUGGAGUGCGGCAGAGGGGUAUGGAAUUCCGCGUGUAGCAGUGAAAUGCGUAGAUAUGCGGAGGAACACCAAUGGCGAAGGCAAUCCCCUGGGCCUGCACUGACGCUCAUGCACGAAAGCGUGGGGAGCAAACAGGAUUAGAUACCCCUGUAGUC
rnacentral:rRNA from 1 species